rnacentral:lncRNA from 1 species
UCCCCAGGACUUUUCUUUCUGGUUGGAAUACCACUGGAGAUCAGGGGUUGAUACUCCUUCCCCACCUCCAGCCAGAGUGCACCCUCCUGGUGGACCGAGUGGGGCUCUGGUGCUUCCGAGGCUAGGCCUUGCUCCUCUGCCAGCGGGGUCAGACAUAUACUCUCAGCCAGGCCCUGUCUGGCUCGUUUCAGCGGGGUCCGCCUGUCAGGGAGGCCAGCCAGGGGCUGCGGUAAGUGGGUUACAGGACUGUGGGGAGUGGGGUUUGUGUCCUGGGAGUCCUGGGUCUGGUUUUGUGUCUGAAACUGGGUUUGGCUGAGGGUUUUUCUGGAGACCCGGCGGAGCAGCAUGCCCAUUCUCUUCCUCUUCUCCCUGGCCCCGGCUGAAGCUAAAGCUGGAACUCCGCUCUCGGAGACGGAGUCUGUAGACGCACCACCGACCAGGGAUGAGAAUGCAGUGGUAACCUGCUGCAGCACCUCCAACUGCCUGAACCUAUCUGUGAGUGAGUGAGUGAGUGAGUGAGUGAGUGAGUGAGUGAGUGAGUGAGUGAGUGAGUGAGUGAGUGAGUGAGUGAGUGAGUGAGUGAGUGAGUGAGUGAGUGAGAGAAGGAGAGAAGGAGAGAAGGAGAGAAGGAGAGAAGGAGAGAAGGAGAUUGUUAACAUUUAUCUGUGGUUGACAGAUGCAAAGUUGGCAAACCAGCUAACCAUGUUAUCAGUCUUAUAGGACUGUCUCCAUCAGGUGGAAUAAAUGCACGGUGUUCUCACCAGAGAGGACACUGGAUACACAACAGUUUCAACACAUAAAGCACAAAAAGAAUCCCAUGACCAUGUUCAUGCCAGUAGUUGCCAAGGUUCCUGGAGCUAGAACAUGUAUGUGGCUAGCUUAAACAUCAUAUGACAGCACAUGACAUAACUACAGUACAGUAUUUGUAAAGUGUAUAAAGAGAAUGACAGCAUGUCAAGGUAUCUACAGUAUGUUUUCAGUGUAUUAAGAGCACAUGACAGAAUGUCUGAGGAGUAUGUUUACAGUGUAACAUCCCUUACUGCUGACAUCAGGGUUCUCUAUGUCCAUGCGGUUCUUCUGGGCGUCCAGGAACACCUGGAUGUUGAUUCCCCGGGCGCUGGACUGGUUGUUGAUGAAGCGGGCAGGGAUCCGUCCAGAGAUGUCAGGCUCGUCACAGCCGAAGCCCAGAUCUAGUAGGACCUCCUCUGGGUCGUCACUCCACAGAUUCAGC